rnacentral:rRNA from 1 species
GACAGAGGUGCCAAGCGUUAGGCGGAAUCACUGGGCUUAAAGCGUGUGUAGGUGGAUGCCUAAGUACCUUGUGAAAUCCCACGGCUCACCCGUGGAACUGCUUGGUAUACUGGGUGUCUUGAGCCACUUAGGGGUCGCUGGAACAAACGGUGGAGCGGUGAAAUGCGUAGAUAUCGUUUGGAACGCCAAUGGUGAAAACAGGCGACUGGGAGUGUGCUGACACUGAGACACGAAAGCCAGGGAGCGAACGGG